rnacentral:rRNA from 1 species
AUACGUAGGGAGCGAGCGUUGUCCGGAAUUACUGGGCGUAAAGGGCGCGUAGGCGGCGCUUCAAGUCGUCUGUCAAAUGGGAGGGCUUAACCCUUUUUCGCAGACGAAACUGGAGAGCUUGAGAAGCAGAGAGGCAAACAGAAUUCCUGGUGUAGCGGUGAAAUGCGUAGAUAUCAGGAAGAAUAUCAGUGGCGAAGGCGGUUUGCUGGCUGCAUACUGACGCUGGAGCGCGAAAGCCAGGGGAGCAAACGGUAUUUGAUACCCCGGUAGUCCUGGCAGUAAACGAUGUAUGCGUGGUGUGAGACUAGCGAUAGUUUCGUGCCGAAGUUAACGCGAUAAGCAUACCGCCUGGGGAGUACGGUCGCAAGAUUGAAACUCAAAUGAAUUGACGGGG